GGGCCCGCACAAGCGGUGGAGCAUGUGGUUUAAUUCGAUGAUACGCGAGGAACCUUACCAGGGCUUAAAUGUAGUGGGACAGGUCUAGAGAUAGACCUUUCUUCGGACUCAUUACAAGGUGCUGCAUGGUUGUCGUCAGCUCGUGCCGUGAGGUGUCAGGUUAAGUCCUAUAACGAGCGCAACCCCUAUCGUUAGUUGCCAGCGGGUCAUGCCGGGAACUCUAGCGAAACUGCCGGUGCAAACCGAGAGGAAGGUGGGGAUGACGUCAAAUCAUCACGGCCCUUACGUCCUGGGCCACACACGUGCUACAAUGGCCGGUACAGAGAGCAGCCACUACGCGAGUAGGAGCGAAUCUACAAAACCGGUCUCAGUUCGGAUCGCAGUCUGCAACUCGACUGCGUGAAGCUGGAAUCGCUAGUAAUCGCAUAUC
rnacentral:rRNA from 1 species